rnacentral:rRNA from 1 species
CCUACGGGAGGCAGCAGUGGGGAAUCUUAGACAAUGGGCGCAAGCCUGAUCUAGCCAUGCCGCGUGAGUGAUGAAGGCCUUAGGGUCGUAAAGCUCUUUCGCCUGUGAAGAUAAUGACUGUAGCAGGUAAAGAAACCCCGGCUAACUCCGUGCCAGCAGCCGCGGUAAUAC